AUUGAUAUUUGUUGGAUAUUUGAAACAUGCCAUUAAUGUGAUUUGCAAUAUGAUUUGGUUGUCAUGUAAUAGCUAGGUUAUAGUGUACGAGCUCCUGUUAUAUAUAUAUAUAUAUAUAUAUAUAUAUAUAUAUAUGCCAUUAAUGUGAUUUGCAAUAUGCUAUGGUUGUCAUGUAAUAGUUAGGUUAUAAUGUACGAGCUCCUGUCAUAUAUAUAUAAGUAAAUAUUUGAUCUACAACAAUGCUACUCUUCAUUACUUUUACGUAGGUAUGGCUACUGUCAUGCAUGAUUAUUUGUUGCUCAACACCUUUACAGGAACACAUGCAUGAAGAAUAACAAGACAAAAUUAAAAGGACCAAGAAGACUGGAGGAGGGCAGGGAGGUAUUGUACGCACACACUCUCUCUAGACAAAGAGCUCGAUGCCACGUUGUGUACUCUUUCUCUAGACAGAGAGCUGGGGGCUACUUUCUCUCUCUAGACACAGAGUUGGGGUGUGCACUCUCUCUAGACUAGGCGCCACAAUAUAAUCCCACCCUCUUUCACAGAGAGUUGCAGCCAUCACAUAAUUUCAUAAUUUUCAUUUCAGUCAUGGCAACAGUACCACUCAACACUAGAGCCAAUAGAUCAUCCAUCCCACCUGAAAACCCAACAAUGAACCCCAAGACAUGGCGGCUUCUUUCACCACUCUCCUUGCCCUUGAAGGGUUAUUGUUUGCUAUCGAUACUAAUGCUCCAGGUACAUUUGUGCACAGCAAAGCCCACAAAAAGUUGGUCUAGAUUGUGGGUUUCUCACUGGGUUUCAUAUUUUAUGGAUUGUUAUUUUUAUCAGCCAAAUUAAAAUACCCUUUGUACAUAUGGCUUGCGUUAUUCGUGACCUAGAUAAUGUUCUGGUUUGGAGUCGAUGAAAACGUCCAUCCCAAGAAAUAUUUCGUAAAGAUGGUGUUAAUCAUUAACUUUAUUCACGCAACCCUAAUCUUUUUUAAAACACUCUUCCUUGUUGGAGUGUUUGAAAGCUUCUGGUUUCUGAAGAAAAACCUAUCCUUCUAGGGUCCAGGAGGUUUUCUUAACCAUAUGGAGAAAGCUAAUCCAUGGCUUGCCAACUGUCUAGGUAUGAUCUUUUAUAUAAUUAUUUAUGUAAAAUUAAUAGAAAAUUUCUUUUUAUAUGAAGAAUUUUUUUUUAUUUAUACAAGGCUUUGCUUCUCUUGCUGCCCCCGCACCCCCUGUUGUCGUUGAUCUUGUUACCGCUGCUGCUGCUACUAUUGCUGCUCCUCGUGGUGGUGGAGGUCAAGCAAGUCAUGUUUAGGGUAGGGUUUAAAUAUUCUAUAUUUAAGACUUUUUGUUGGAUUACUGUUCAAGUUAUCAAUGUCUUGAUACAAAUUUACAAGUUAAUUGAUUUCAGGACUGAUAACUUGAACAGUAAUCCAACAAAAAGUCUUUAAAUAUAGAUACCCUACAAAUGACCUGUUUGACCUCCACCACCACGAGGAGCAGCAAUAGUAGAAGCAACAAUGGUAAUAAGAUCAACAGCAACAGAGGGUGCGGGGGCAACAGGAGAAGCAAAGCUUUUAUAAAUAAAAAAAUUCUUAAUAUAAAAAGAAAUUUUCUAAUAAUUUUACAGAAAUAAUUAUAUAAAAGAUCAUGCAUAGACAGUUGGUGAGCCAUGGAUUAGCUUUCUCUAGGUGGUUGAGAAAACCUCUUGGACCCUAGAAAGAUAGGUUUUUCUUCAGAAACCGGAAGCUUUCAGGCACCCUAACAUGGAAGAGUGUUUUAAAAAAGAUUAGGGCUGCAAGAAUAAAGUUAAUGAUUAACACCAUCUUGACAAAAUAUUUCUUAGGAUGGAUGGUUUCAUUGACGCCAAACCAGAAAAUUAUCCAUGUCAUGGAUAACGCAAGCCAUAUGUACAUAGGGUAUUUCAAUUAGGCUGAUAAAAAUUCCAAUCUGUAAAAUAUGAAACCCACAAUCCAGACCAACUUUUUGUGGGCUUUGCUGUGCACAAAUGCAACUUGAGCACUGGUACUAAUAGCGAACAAUAACCCUCCAAGGGCAAGGAGAGUGGUGAAAGAAGCUGCUAAUGUCUUGGGGUUCAUUUCUGGGUUUUCAGGUGAGAUGGAUGAUCUAUUGGCUCCAGUGUUGGAUGGUGCUGUUGCCAUGGCUGAAAUGGAAAGUAUGUGGUGGUGGGUUUAUAUUGUGGCGCCUAGUCUAGAGAGAGUGCACACCCAAUUCUGUGUCUAGAGAGAGAAAGUACAAUACGUGGCGCCCCCAGCUCUUUGUCUAGAGAGAGUACAACGAGGCACCCAACUCUUUGUCUAGAGAGUGUGCGUAUAGUACCUCCCUGCCCUCAUCUUGGUCCUUUUAAUUUUGUCAUGUUAUUCUUCAUGCCUGUGUUUCUGUAGAGGUGCUAAGCAACAAAUAACCAUGCAUGCCGGUAGCCAUACCUACGUGAAAGUCAGGAAGUGUAGCAUUGUUGUAGAUCAAAUAUUCACUUAUAUAACGAGAGCUCUUACAUGAAAAAACUGGGAAACACAGAGUAAGUGAGAAAGGCUGUUGUACGGCUAAGCAUAAAUGGGAGGUAUAUUAACUUUGAGAAAUUAAUGAAAUAUAUGUUAAAAAUUAUAUGUUGGAAACUUUAUAGUUAGCAAGAUCACAGCCUGGACACGGUGCUUAUGGAGGAAAGACGAAGGAGGUGGGGUGGAUUCUAAGAAGGAAGGGGGAAUGGAGAAAGAGGAGGAAAUAAGGUGGGGUUGCUGCUGGGAAGCAGGAGGUUGAAGAUGAAUAGUGGGGGCGGGGCCCACUAUGUUUAAAAAAAUUUCAAAGGAGAAUUGGUUAGGAGAAGGGAGAAAGAGGAAAGAAAAGCAAGGUGGGUCACUAGAAGACUUAAACGACGCGCGGCAACACCUGAUAAGGCCACGUGUUAUUUUAAUUUUUUUUCUUCAAAUUACUAAAAACUCAAUAAAAUCCUUAAUGAUUGCUCUACAAUUUUAAAAAAUAUGCAACCCUGGUGAUUCCAUCCUAUUCUCUUUGAUGUUUGUAUUUUGACAUCCGGGGAAGUCGCGACAUCGUUGUUAGUGAAUCAAUCCCUAGAUUCCAUCCUAUUCACUAACAACGAUGUCGCGACUUCCCUGGAUGUCAAAAUACAAACAUCAAAGAGAAUAGGAUGGAAUCACCAGGGUUGCAUAUUUUUCAAAAUUGUAGAGCAAUCAUUAAGGAUUUUAUUGAGUUUUUAGUAAUUUGAAGAAAAAAAAAUUAAAAUAACACGUGACCUUAUCAGGUGUUGCCGCGCGUCGUUUAAGUCUUCUAGUGACCCACCCUGCUUUUCUUUCCUUUUUCUCCCUUCUCCUAACCAAUUAUCCUUUGAAAUUUUUUUAAACAUAGUGGGCCCACCCCCACUAUUCAUCUUCAACCUCCUGCUUCCCAGCAGCAGCCCCGCCUUAUUUCCUCCUCUUUCUCCAUUCCCCCUUUCUUCUUAGAAUCCACCCCACCUCCUUCGUCUUUCCUCCAUAAGCACCGUGUCCAGGCUGUGAUCUUGCUAACUAUAAAGUUUCCAACAUAUAAUUUUUAACAUAUAUUUCAUUAAUUUCUCAAAGUUAAUAUACCUCCCAUUUAUGCUUAGCCGUACAGCAGCCUUUCUCACUCACUCUGCGUUUCCCAGUUUUAUGUCGAGGGGCAAAAUUGACCUAAACCAAAGAAAUUAAUUGAUGGAGAAGCAAAACUGGGUUUUCCCCAGAGAUGUGUGAGUAAAAGAAAGUUUCACAGAAAAGGAAAGAGAGAAAAUAAAGGAAGGAAAAGGCACUGUCAGGUUUUACAUGGUAAAAGAAAGCUUAUUAAUUUAUGUACAAGAGUUGUAGAAGGUGCCACAGGCCCUAGCCCUAGCUAUCUCAUUUUUGAACCCCACGUGCUAUACAAACGCUACGCAGAUGUACACAAGCGUCCGCCAAAACCAUAUCAUGCAAAAACAUGCCUCGAUUAUUGUCCAUGCCAUCUCCCAGCUAUACUGUCACCAGAGAGCAAAAACCAACAAGGAGCAACAAAAAUGUAAUCGGACACUUUCGCGCAUGUGAGAGGCUCUUUUACUAUCGCGGCGCUACGCGCUUCUAAUUUUUUAUUUAUUUAUGUUUCUUUACCUUCGAUUUUGAGUCCCGUCUUAUUUCUUUUUUUUUUUUACAAAUAUAUUUGUCUUAAUUUUUGUGCGUUUGGCAAGUGGUUGUCAUUCAUGGAAAAAGAAAAUAAUUAAAACUGAAUGAACAAUGUAUAAGCAACUAAUCAAGGCUCGUUUAAUUUUCUGGUUUGAAUAUUAUGUGUUUAGAAGUGUAAAUUUGAAUUUCGAAAUGAUUUUUCUGUUCAAAUAUUUGUUUCUGUGAUUUUGGGGGGUCUUUUGUUGAAACUUCGUUUAUAUUAGAAAGAAUUAUAAUUAUUAAAAACAGUUCUGCUUACAACAUACUCUUUUGCAAAAUUAGGAAUCAAAUACAAAUAUGAACAUCAACUCCUUAUAUAGAAAUAUGCUACGAAAAUUAAUUACUCAUGCCACCCCUUUUAUUCUCAUCUCCAUGGUCGAAUCCCGUGUCCACAAUUAUAAAAAUCGGCCUAGGCGGCACCUAGGCGGUUUUUUAUAUAUAUAUUUUUUAUUAAUGUGUGUUUUUUCUUUUGUUGGUUUUAUGGUGGUGUACUUAUGGAAAUGGUGUAUCUAAUUUGCAAAUGAUGAAUUUACUACAAGUUCAUCAAUAGUGAAACGAAUUGUAGCACUUUUGAGGGGAUCCCGGAUCCAUACAAAGAAAAGAAAUAAACUAAAUACAACAAGGUUACAUAAUUUAGUUUAUGUCUAAUCCAAUGCAAGGAUCAUGAUUUAUGAACAAGAAGAAUUUAGUCUAUCAUCCAAAUCCUCCUCAUUAUGAUUAUGUGCUUAUUGUUUUUUCUAAUAUUGAACUUUUUGGAUGUAUGUAAUUUGUGUAUUCUUCUACUUCUAUUUUUGCAUUUUAUCAUUCUUUUAUUAUCCAUACAAGUAUAGUUUUUUUUAGGUGUAAAUAGGCAUUUAUUUACAAGAUAUAUAAUAAAUUUACAUAAAUCCGCCUAAGUGCUAGGCUCCUACCCGCUGCUCGACUAGCGCCUAGCGAUUUUAUAACCUUGCCUGUGUCCACAUGUCCUUAUUUCAUUGACACAAAAUGUCACGUGACAGUAUAAUCGUGUUAUGCAAGUUAUUUUCCUGAACCGGCCACUAUCCAACCUAAUUUCAUUAUGGAACUUUUGUUCUUGUUAUAUUUGACCAUUCAAUUUAAUCUGGUAAUCCAAGAACAAUUCAAGUACAUUCUCUCCUCUUAAUAUCGAUUGUAUUCAAACUUAAUACGAGAUCUAAAAUACAUUUAAGAUAGGUUUGUGCCACGGGUUGAAACUCAACCCCAACCCAACCGAUGCCCUAUUAAAAGUCAUCGACGAUGUCUUCAAUGUAAAUAUACAAGUGUAACAUCAAGAAAAUUUCAACUAGACAAACAACCACAAUCAGCCUGCAAAGUGUAGUAAGCUCUAACGUUCUCAUCAAGAGCAUGAACUAUCACGUUGCCUAAAUAAAUAAAGAAACACAAUAUUGAAACCCAAAAAGAACGAAACUAACAAUAUCAAUGAGGCAUGUAAUGGCAAAUGUUAUACAGAAGUACAAGAUUCAUAUAAUAUACUAGGAAACACAUAAAUGGCUUUGGUCAUUCAGUAAUUUAGUCAAAAUACAUACUACAUAAAGUUUGAGCCCUCGUAUGGCUACUGGAAAUUUCCAUAACAACAAAACAAUUUUCAUUUUUCUACGAAUAUUGUGGUGCAUGGUGUAUGCGAAAAAUCAAACAUACCAUAACUAGAGCAAAUAUGUAAUCAAAACUAGUUUUCAAGAACAAAAAACGACAAUCCUACAACGAGCACAAUAUAACAGUGUGAAUGACAAUCCGCUUUCCUCCCUCUUACCUUUCUUGCCCUUCCACGAGAAAGAAGGCAUUCCCUUUUUUUCUUUUCGAAUUAGAACUUGGGAGAAACUUAUAUGCAAAUAGAACCGAAACUUCUAUGAGCUAGUGUCCUAACUAUUAAAUAAAAUUUUUAAGUGCUUUUGGUUAUGCUUCUCCAAAAAAAAAAACUUUUAUUUACGAGCGGUUUUUGUAAGUAGCACUUUUAUAAGAAGAACAAUUUGUCGUUUGGCAAGCAACCAAAUUAUAUUUAUUUAUUAUCUAUUCUAAAGUUGGUGGGCAAUUAGACUGUUCAUGGCUACAGUAAAUUGUUUGCCACUUGAUUUCACCUUAUUUACAAGAAACCCAUCAGAUUUGAGGUGGGUUGGAAGGGUAAUUAUUAGAACUUAAAAGGGUAAUUUUGUCCGUAGGGUUCACUGCCUUCGACUUCUUCUUGCUCUCUCUUCAUUUCUCUCAACCUGUAGCCCCAGCGCCGCUCACCCCUAUUCUUCUUCAUCUUUUCUAAAACCUAGCCCUCCCUCCAUCUCUCUCAACCCUAAACCAUCUUCCCCUUCUCCGUAAAACCCAGAGGCCGAGAGGCCUGAGUCCACAUCACAACUCGCCAUUCCGGAGAGCCUCAACUCCAUCAAACAACCACCAGCUCCCUGGACUCCCCUUUCUUUUCUCUAUAAACACCGAGGCGCACCAACGCCUCCAUUUUCCGGCAAAACAUGACUACAGCACCACCACCACUCGCUCCAUCUCACAGAACCACUAUCACUCACUCUGUUCUGCUCAGGAGACACAGGCGAGGCCUUUCACUGUGCACUGGCUCCUGCCACUGUUCGUCGACUUCUCCUACGAGACUCACCUCUCCUGACCUCGGUAAGCCACCCUUACACUCCUCCCUUAUGUUUUCAAUUUGGGACUCGAAUUCAAGCUUACAUGUCUUUUAGUUUUUCAUGCUUCUUUCGUCCAAUCAUCAUAGCCCUCUCCUCUCUGUCUCUUUAUAAACAAUUUCCAAUUGGUUUUUAGAGAGAGAAAGUGGCAGCAGCAGCAGUGGGAAGGAAUAAGGACUAUUCCUGUCUCUGUGAUCGUCUCUGCCCUUCGAAGCUCUAGGGUUUGGCUUUGGCUCUAUUAGCUGUUGAGGUAGUUAUUAAUCCGUACUUUGAUUGUAAUUUUUUUUUUCAGUAUUCAGUAAGUUUGAUCAAAUGCGUUUCUUUGGACUUGCAUAAGUUGUGUAUAAAAUUGCUUCAAUCAUCUAUUGGGUUCCUUUUGUAUUAUUGAGUUUUGCUAGAAAUUGUAUAAAAUUUGACCAAAUUGCAUAAAUUAUUGAGCUUUUGUUUGGUAUUUUUAUGGCUACUAUGCUAAUUAGUUCAUACCCAAAAAGGAGCAGAGAAUUAACUGUUCUAAUCAGUAAUUCCCCACUCUGAGAACUUGAGACCUUGGCUUGGACUGAUAUGCAUUUCCAAUGUUUUAGAUUACAUUGAUCUGUAUUAUUUUAAAGUAUAUAUAAAGAUUAGUUUUUAGGUGUAUGCACUAAAUAUUGGAUAUAUGGUAUUUUCAGGUUCUUUGACAUCCAAUUGCAUAUAAUCUCAAUUUUCUCAUGCAUUUUUUGUCUGAGCUUCGGAAUCGUUGAAAAAUUUGUCUAAAUAAUUAAUUGAUUGAAAUGGCUGUUAGUAAUGAAUGAGGUGUUUACUGUUUUUUGGUGUGUACAGAGCGAAAGAUAUGUUGUUAACAAGGGCAAAAACAAGAACUCUCGAUUUUGUUCAUUUCUUUUUUGGUACCCCAAAUGCUCCGUUUGGUUGCUGAGAGACUGAGAAAAAGGGAUUGAAUCGCUUGGUUUUUCGGUGAGAAAACAGAGCUGGGUUCUGUUGUGUUUUUAUCGUGACUGAUGGAAAUUUGGUGUCUUUGGUUCGAAUCUGCGGCACCCAAGAGGAAAAGACCGCGACCCGUGAAGUAUGACGACGAGAACCCAGCGGUUCAAAACAGUCCCAUUUCUUCUACGGCCAAAGUGGUGGCUGAUCAGCCUGCUAAGGUUGAGACUGCCUGUCCGAAUUUGGAAAAAAAAAACCCAGGAUCUCCAGCUGAAAAUGGCGGGUCUUCGUAUGAUUUGCCCCACUCUCAAGCUGUUCCGGCAUCGCUGGAGGCUCAGCGGGAGUCAAUUAGGCCGGAGAGCAACGCGGUGUUGAAGUCAAGGCCAGUGAACGAUGAAUUGGAGAGUCGAAAUGUUAAAACAAGCAAGGAGGAGCCUCAAUCUUCCAAGAAGGAACCUACUGGCAUCAGAUUGGAUGAUAAACGUGAAGAAAUCACACUGACCAAACCGUGAUAAAAUACGGAGGUAACAAGAAAAACCCAUAAAUCCUCUUCUUUCACAGUACAAUUUUAAUUCAAAUUCAGCACACUUUAACCCUUUUUUUUUCUUUGUUUUUUUGGCUGUUUCAGAGAUGUGAAGUUAAAGAGAGGAGGACUAAAUCAAUCUUCGAUUUACCUGACCAAUAAUUCAACAUUCAAGGAAGAUGGUGAAAAUCAGAACCCCAAUCUAUCAACCCUUCCAAUGAACCAAGCUAAGGCCAUGAAGGCAACAAUCAAAUCAAGCACAGAGAAGAAGCAACCAAUUGAGAGCACAACGCCGAACAAUGAGGUUCUUCCAAAGCUGAGAAGCACGCUGUCUGCAAGGAAUAUUAUGCUUGGUCCCAAUUACGAUGAGGAAAUUAACAAGACUCUGGUUUGCCUUUAUUAGGUGUCUGUUGAAAGGUUGAGUUCAAUGAAGAAAUAUGUAUUUGGGUUAAGCUCUGCUCAGGUGAUUUUUUUUUCAUAUUCGUUUCGGCCUGGCCAUUAGCAAGAUUUUUUAUAUUAGUAGUGAGAAACAAGUUUCUAUCAGUUUGUUAAUAUGGAUUUUCUUUGUCAUUUCAAUAUAGUCAUAAGCUAGGUUUAAGCCUUGAAUUGGUUUCUGUGUAGCUGCCUAGCUGGAUGUGCAUUUAACUGCUUUAAAUCUGUUUGUUUUGUGUUGAGGACUAACUAGGUUCGCUAGAUGCAAGAGUUUUAUUUUUUAUAUUAGAAAUUUAACCUCUGUUGCAUACCUGAGGUGAGAAUUUUGCUUUUAUAAUUUUUAUUUACUACAUCUAAUGAUCUUAUUUAUGAAUUGCAGGAAAAAGUUGUCAAGUUAAGCAAACAAUUGAGCCAUUUAAAAGUUUGGUGAGUAUCUUAUGUCACGUUGUGUAUUGUACGCACACACUCUCUAAACAAAGAGUUCGGUGCCACGUUGUGUACUCUCUCUCUCUAGACAGAGAGCUGGUGGGCGCUAUGUAGUGUACUUUCUGUCUCUGGACACAGAGCUGGGCGUGCACUCUCUCCAGACUAGGCACCACAAUAUAAUCCCACAAUUUUUAACAGAGAGCUGCAGCCACCAUAUAAUUUGAUAAUUUUCAUUUCAGCCAUGGCAACAGCACCACUCAACAUUGGAGCUAAUAGAUCAUCCAUCCCACCUGAAACCCCAGAAAUGAACCUUAAGACAUGGCCGCUUCUUUCACCACCCUCUUUGCCCUUGAAGGGUUAUUGUUCGCUAUCGAUACCAGUGCUCCAGGUAUAUUUGUUCACAGCAAAGCCCACAAAAAGUUGGUCUAGAUUGUGGUUUUCUCACUGGGUUUCAUAUUUUAUGUAUUGUUAUUUUUAUCAGCGAAAUUAAAAUACCCUCUAUAUAUAUGGCUUGCGUUAUCUGUGACCUGGAUAAUGUUCUGAUUUGGAGUCAAUGAAAACGUCCAUCCCAAGAAAUAUUUCGUCAAUAUGGUGUUAAUCAUUAACUUUAUUCUCGCAGCCCUAAUUUUUUUUAAAACACACUUCCUUGUUGGAGUGUCUGAAAGUUUCCGGUUUCUGAAGAAAAACCUAUCUUUCUAGGUUUCAAGAGGUUUUCUUAACCACCUAGAGAAAGCUAAUCCAUGGCUUAGCCUUCUUUAUGAAGCUGAGAAAACCUUUUGUUGGACCCCAAAAAGAUAGGUUCUUCCUCAGAAACUGAAGGCUUUCAGACAU
rnacentral:lncRNA from 1 species